GGAUAGGUGAACCUGCGGAAGGAUCAUUA
rnacentral:rRNA from 1 species